rnacentral:rRNA from 1 species
CACGUAGGAGGCGAGCGUUGUCCGGAAUCAUUGGGCGUAAAGAGCGCGCAGGCGGCUUGGCAAGUCGGGUGUGAAAUCCCGGGGCUCAACCCCGUGACUGCAUUCGAUACGAGCAAACUAGAGUGUUGCAGGGGAGACUGGAAUUCCUGGUGUAGCGGUGAAAUGCGCAGAUAUCAGGAGGAACACCGGUGGCGAAGGCGGUUCUCUGGGCAUUACCUGACGCUGAGGAGCGAAAGCGUGGGGAGCAAACAGG